rnacentral:lncRNA from 1 species
GAAAAAAUAUAUGUGCAGUUAAUGUGUAGAUUAUUUGCAAAUUUUUUUGUUGAACUUUCUUUCCUCUCAAUGCUAUUAUGAAUCUGACAGGCAAUAAGACCCAUUUCUCAGGCAUCUAGUUUGCAACGUCCCAGCAUUCUGCCAGGUUCACUUGCUAGGCCAGUGGCCGAACAGUUUGGCAAAAUGUAAGUUGUUUGAAUUUUCUUUCUC